rnacentral:tRNA from 1 species
GGGGCGGUGGCGCAGUUGGUUAGCGCGUCGGUCUCAUAAUCCGGAGGUCGAGAGCUCGAGCCUCUCUCGCCCCA